GCUAAUCUAUUGGAGUUCUGGAUCUGGCAAUUCCAUAAGUUUGUCUUGUAGCCUUGGCGGUCAUUAUACUAAGCUUGGUGGACUCGGUAUUGACUUGUAUUAACUCGAACUAGCAGCCCUGACGCUUGGAACUCGCUACCUAGCAACAUUAUACUAAGCUUGCAAUUACUUAAGGGUGGGGGCAACUCGGGAAGAAAAUGCAGGACUUGUUCUUAACGCAAACACUAAUAGGUAUACUAGGGUCUCUUUACUAAUAGGUAUACUAGGGUCUCUGACCUAGCUUCAAAGCCAAUACAUGAUUAUGCCCGAACAAUAUUCUCUUUACCGACAACUAAGGGAAAGCCAAUAAAAGAAGCGUCUCUAUCUUCGCCAACUAAGAUAGAAUCACUUACCGUUGAGGAAGAGAAGCACCGAGGCAUAGAUCUAUAGACCAGAAAGAAUAGAAACUUGAAUCCAAAAACUCAUUGUUCCCCGCCGUUGCGCAAGGGAAGGAA
rnacentral:lncRNA from 1 species